UGGGUAGCUAUGUGCGGAAGGGAUAAGUGCUGAAAGCAUCUAAGCAUGAAGCCCCCCUCAAGAUGAGAUUUCCCAUAACGUAAGUUAGUAAGAUCCCUGAAAGAUGAUCAGGUUGAUAGGUUCGAGGUGGAAGCGUGGUGACACGUGGAGCUGACGAAUACUAAUAGAUCGAGGACUUAACCAA
rnacentral:rRNA from 1 species